rnacentral:rRNA from 1 species
GACGAACGCUGGCGGCGUGCCUAAUACAUGCAAGUAGAACGCAGUUGCGAACGGGUGAGUAACGCGUAGGUAACUUCCUGGUAGCGGGGGAUAACUAUUGGACACGAUAGCUAAUACCGCAUACUACCAGAUGGACCUGUGUUGUAUUAUCUAGUUGGUGGGGUAACGGCUCACCAAGGCAACGAUACAUAGCCGACCGUGGAGGGUGAUAGGCAACACGGGGACUGAGACCCGGCCCAGACUCCUACGGGAGGCAGCAGUAGGGAAUCUUCGGCAAUGGGGGGAACCCUGACCGAGCAAAGCCGCGUGAGUGAAGAAGGGUGUCGGAUCGUAAAGCUCUGUUGUUAAGGAAGCGGUACUUAACCAGAAAGGGACGGCUAACUACGUGCCAGCAGCCGCGGUAAUAC